CAGCAGCCGCGGGAAUACAGAGGGUGCGAGCGUUAAUCGGAUUUACUGGGCGUAAAGCGUGCGUAGGCGGCUUCUUAAGUCGGAUGUGAAAUCCCUGAGCUUAACUUAGGAAUUGCAUUCGAUACUGGGAAGCUAGAGUAUGGGAGAGGAUAGUAGAAUUCCAGGUGUAGCGGUGAAAUGCGUAGAGAUCUGGAGGAAUACCGAUGGCGAAGGCAGCCAUCUGGCCUAAUACUGACGCUGAGGUACGAAAGCAUGGGGAGCAAACAGGAUUAGAUACCCCUGUAGUCCAUGUCUCUUAUAC
rnacentral:rRNA from 1 species